AAAAACAUGUCUGUAUGGAGUUACAUAGAGUCUGACCUGCCCGUUGAAGAAGUUUGAAAGGCCGCGGUAUAUUAACUGUGCAAAGGUAGCAUAAUCAUUAGCUUUUUAAUUGAAGGCUUGUAUGAAGGGUUGGACAAAGAAAAGACUGUCUUUAUUUUUAGGUUUGAAGUUAACUUUUAAGUGAGAAGGCUUAAAUACAUUUAAGGGACGAUAAGACCCUAUAAAUCUUUAUAUUAAUUUAUUUUUUUUGAAGAUUAAUAUAUGUCUAGUACCGAGAAAAAUAGAAGAUAUUUUGUUGGGGUGACGAGAAUACAAAAUUAACUGUUCUUUAGUAAAACAAAGUUGUUUGUUUAAUGUUAAUAGAUCCUUUAUAGAGAUUAAAAGUUUAAGUUACUUUAGGGAUAACAGCGUUAUUUUUUUUGAGAGUUCUUAUCGAAAAAAAAGUUUGCGACCUCGAUGUUGAAUUAAAAUUUCUCCGUGGUGCAGAAGUUGCGGGAGGAAAGUCUGUUCGACUUUUGAAAUUUUACAUGAUUUGAGUUCAGACCGGCGUAAGCCAGGUUGGUUUCUAUCUA
rnacentral:rRNA from 1 species